rnacentral:rRNA from 1 species
UACGAGGGGGGCAAGCGUUGUUCGGAUUUAUUGGGCGUAAAGGGUGCGUAGGCGGUUUGGCAAGUCUUAUGUGAAAUCUUCGGGCUCAACCCGAAGCCUGCAUAAGAAACUGCCGGGCUUGAGUAUGGGAGAGGUGAGUGGAAUUCCUGGUGUAGCGGUGAAAUGCGUAGAUAUCAGGAGGAACACCGGUGGUGUAGACGGCUUUCUGGACCGUAACUGACGCUGAGACACGAAAGCGUGGGUAGCAAACAG